rnacentral:rRNA from 1 species
GCCCUUGGAGGAAAGUAGGGGAUCGUAAGACCUUGUGCUUUAGGAGUGUCCGAUGUCUGAUUAGCUAGUUGGUAAGGUAAAGGCUUACCAAGGCGACGAUCAGUAGCUGGUCUGAGAGGACGAUCAGCCACACUGGGACUGAGACACGGCCCAGACUCCUACGGGAGGCAGCAGUGGGGAAUUUUGGACAAUGGUCGGAAGCCUGAUCCAGCAAUGCCGCGUGAGUGAAGAAGGCCUUCGGGUUGUAAAGCUCUUUCAGUCGAGAAGAAAAGGCUAUGCCAAAUAAGUAUAGUUAAUGACGGUAUCGAAAGAAGAAGCACCGGCUAACUACGUGCCAGCAGCCGCGGUAAUACGUAGGGUGCGAGCGUUAAUCGGAAUUACUGGGCGUAAAGGGUGCGCAGGCGGUUUUGUAAGUCAGAUGUGAAAUCCCCGGGCUUAACCUGGGAAUGGCGUUUGAAACUACAAAGCUAGAAGGGC